UAGAGGCGGCGGAGACAGGAACGGAGCCAAGGCAGCGGAGGCGGGAGGGAAACCAGCU
rnacentral:sRNA from 1 species